rnacentral:misc_RNA from 1 species
CGCAGCCGCGGUAAUUCCAGCUCCAAUAGCGUAUAUUAAAGUUGCUGCAGUUAAAAAGCUCGUAGUUGAAUUUCGGGAUCAAUAUGUUGGUCGUGCCUCGGUACGUACUAGCUUAUUGGUUUCUCCCUUCUGACGAACCAUGAUGUCAUUUAUUUGGUGUUAUGGGAAAUCAGGACUGUUACUUUGAAAAAAUUAGNGUGUUUAAAGCAGGCUCACGCUUGAAUACAUUAGCAUGGAAUAAUGAAAUAGGACGUUUGAUUCUAUUUUGUUGGUUUCUAGGAUCGACGUAAUGAUUAAUAGGGAUAGUUGGGGGCAUUAGUAUUCAAUUGUCAGAGGUGAAAUUCUUGGAUUUAUUGAAGACUAACUACUGCGAAAGCAUUUGCCAAGGAUGUUUUCAUUAAUCAAGAACGAAAGUUAGGGAAUCGAAGACGAUCAGAUACCGUCGUAGUCUUAACCAUAAACUAUGCCGACUAGGGAUCGGAUGAUGUUAAUUUUUUCAAUGACUCAUUCGGCGCCUUAC